GUGAACCUGCGGAAGGAUCAUUAAAGAGUAAGGGUGCUCAGCGCCCGACCUCCAACCCUUUGUUGUUAAAACUACCUUGUUGCUUUGGCGGGACCGCUCGGUCUCGAGCCGCUGGGGAUUCGUCCCAGGCGAGCGCCCGCCAGAGUUAAACCAAACUCUUGUUAUUAAACCGGUCGUCUGAGUUAAAAUUUUGAAUAAAUCAAAACUUUCAACAACGGAUCUCUUGGUUCUCGCAUCGAUGAAGAACGCAGCGAAAUGCGAUAAGUAAUGUGAAUUGCAGAAUUCAGUGAAUCAUCGAAUCUUUGAACGCACAUUGCGCCCCUUGGUAUUCCGAGGGGCAUGCCUGUUCGAGCGUCAUUACACCACUCAAGCUAUGCUUGGUAUUGGGUGCCGUCCUUAGUUGGGCGCGCCUUAAAGACCUCGGCGAGGCCUCACCGGCUUUAGGCGUAGUAGAAUUUAUUCGAACGUCUGUCAAAGGAGAGGACUUCUGCCGACUGAAACCUUUAUUUUUCUAGGUUGACCUCGGAUCAGGUAGGGAUACCCGCUGAACUUAAGCAUAUCAAUAAGCGGAGGAAAAGAAACCAACAGGGAUUGCCCUAGUAACGGCGAGUGAAGCGGCAACAGCUCAAAUUUGAAAGCUGGCCUUCGGGUCCGCAUUGUAAUUUGUAGAGGAUGCUUUGGGUGAAACGCCAGUCUAAGUUCCUUGGAACAGGACGUCAUAGAGGGUGAGAAUCCCGUAUGUGACUGGAAAUGUUAACCUAUGUAAAGCUCCUUCGACGAGUCGAGUUGUUUGGGAAUGCAGCUCUAAAUGGGAGGUAAAUUUCUUCUAAAGCUAAAUAUUGGCGAGAGACCGAUAGCGCACAAGUAGAGUGAUCGAAAGAUGAAAAGCACUUUGGAAAGAGAGUUAAAAAGCACGUGAAAUUGUUGAAAGGGAAGCGCUUGCAAUCAGACUUGUUUAAACUGUUCGGCCGGUCUUCUGACCGGUUUACUCAGUUUGGACAGGCCAGCAUCAGUUUCGGCGGCCGGAUAAAGGCUCUGGGAAUGUGGCCUUCACUUCGGUGAAGGUGUUAUAGCCCAGGGUGUAAUACGGCCAGCCGGGACUGAGGUCCGCGCUCG
rnacentral:rRNA from 1 species